AAGAAUCGCCCCGUUUUUUGAAAUGGGUUCUAUUCCCAAACCGUGUAUACAUACCUUUGUUGCUUUGGCAGGCCGCCUUUUAGGCGUCGGCUUCGGCUGACUGCGCCUGCCAGAGGACCCAAACUCGUUUGUUUAGUGAUGUCUGAGUACUAUAUAAUAGUUA
rnacentral:misc_RNA from 1 species